GAUGAACGCUAGCGGCAGGCCUAACACAUGCAAGUCGAGGGGGAGGUUACUUUCGGGUAACUGAGACCGGCGUACGGGUGCGUAACGCGUAUACAAUCUGCCUUUCACUGGGGGAUAGCCCGAAGAAAUUUGGAUUAAUACCCCAUAGUAUAGUAAUACGGCAUCGUGAUGCUAUUAAAGCUUAGGUGGUGAAAGAUGAGUAUGCGUUCUAUUAGCUAGUUGGAGAGGUAACGGCUCCCCAAGGCGAUGAUAGAUAGGGGUUCUGAGAGGGAUGUCCCCCACACUGGUACUGAGAUACGGACCAGACUCCUACGGGAGGCAGCAGUGAGGAAUAGUGAACAAUGGUCGGAAGACUGAUCCAGCCAUGCCGCGUGCAGGAGGAAGGUCUUAUGGAUUGUAAACUGCUUUUGUAAGGGAAGAAUAAGGGCUACGCGUAGUUUGAUGACGGUACCUUACGAAUAAGCAUCGGCUAACUCCGUG
rnacentral:rRNA from 1 species